UUUUUUUUUAACGUUUAUUUUUGAGACAGAGAGAGACAGAUCAUGAACGGGGGAGGGUCAGAGAGAGGGAGACACAGAAUCCGAAACAGGCUCCAGGCUCUGACCGUCAGCACAGAGCCCGACGCCGGGCUCGAACUCACGGACCUCGAGAUCGUGACCUGAGCCGAAGUCGGCCGCUUAACCAACUGAGCCACCCAGGCGCCCCGGGUGGCAUUCUUUUCAAUUCGUGGCACUUUGUCCUCCUAACAGCGUCACAUGUUUUACUUGCAUUUAUUAUAAGAUGCAGUCAUGUCAGAUGUGUACAUUUACUUAUGUGUAACUAUUAAGGCUACAAGAUGUGUAUCUUCCAUUUUUAUAUUUUUGUAUAGAUUUAUAUGAGCAUGAAGAACCUUCUGAAAUGUACUCAUUAGUUGGAUUACCCAAGUCACCUGAAUGGGAGGAGGACACCAUGAAAUGAGGAAUACAAAGGGGGAAGAUGGAAAAAGCCCACUUCUAGGGGUGGCACUGGUGGGUUCGGUGCUCCCUCAUACCCAGUUAGCGCUUUCCAGGAUUAGACGACCAGAAACUUCUAAAGUGCCCACUCUUUUUGACAUGAUAAUUUUGUGGCUGUAUGAGUAUUUAUGUUAUUUCUAGGCAGAUGUUUCCAAGUAAGGAGAGUGAGGGGAAGUGGUAUCCACGUGCAGCCCCGUGUUUGGGUGCUCCCAAACACACUGAGGGCAGUCAGGCGUGGGCCUCCUUCUCACCUAUGGAUGGGGUGGGGGUGGGGGAUGGGUUAGAUCUGAGCGGCAAAUAGGUUCUAUGUCAUGUCACUGCACGUCACAGGAGUAACCCUUCAGCCCCAUUUUCCUUCUCCAGUCCUUCCAGCAUAUCUAUAUUCCAGUCAUGGCGGGAUAAUGUUAUAGAGGUCAUGCUCGGGGCUCUUGGUUUUUUCCAUCUCAAAGGUCUGUGUGUCCCCAGACUGGUAUGGCUGGACCCAAACUGGAAUCGCCUGAACGUCUGGGCACUUUCAGGGUCUCGGUGUUCUAGUAGAGUUCUGUGGGGGCACAACCCUCACGGCCUUGCUGUUUGUCUCUCUCCCACUUCCUUCCGGAGGCCCCGCCCUGUCCCUUCCCUUUCCUGGAAGAGGCGAGUGUUUCCUGCCUCUGCUGUCCCUUCUGUGUGGGGCACUGUAUCUUCAGAAGGAGCCAGGAAGUUUUGUCAGUCAAGGUUCAGCUCACCUGUCCCUUUCCCAAGAGGACUUGAGCGCCCAUCCAAAGGAUUAGCCUCAUCAGUGUUUGUCAUGCUUACUCAUUUAAGUGGAAGGUGCCACCUUUGAAGAGGUUGUUGGACAAUAUCAAACAAUACGAGGAAGGCCAUUAGGUACAAAAUACUCAUGUAUUUAUGAAUUCAUGACCAAAUUAAAUAUGAAACCUUAUAUAAAAAGA